UACGGAGGAUGCGAGCGUUAUCCGGAUUUAUUGGGUUCAAAGGGUGCGUAGGCGGACUGUCAAGUCAGCGGUAAAAUACGGGGGCUCAACCUCCGCCCGCCGUUGAAACUGACGGUCUUGAGUGGGCGAGAAGUAUGCGGAAUGCGUGGUGUAGCGGUGAAAUGCAUAGAUAUCACGCAGAACUCCGAUUGCGAAGGCAGCAUACCGGCGCCCUACUGACGCUGAGGCACGAAAGCGUGGGUAUCGAACAGG
rnacentral:rRNA from 1 species